UACGUAGGUGGCAAGCGUUGUCCGGAAUUAUUGGGCGUAAAGCGCGCGCAGGCGGUCUCUUAAGGCGGAUGCGAAAGCCCACGGCUCAACCGUGGAGGGUCAUUGGAAACUGGGAGACUUGAGUACAGAAGAGGAGAGUGGAAUUCCACGUGUAGUGGUGAAAUGCGUAGAGAUGUGGAGGAACACCAGUGGCGAAGGCGACUCUUUGGCCUAUAACUGACGCUGAGGCGCGAAAGCGUGGGGAGCAAACAGG
rnacentral:misc_RNA from 1 species